GCCCGGCUAGCUCAAUCGGUAGAGCGUGAGACUCUUAUCACGCGGUCAUUCAGACCAAUCUCAAGGUUGUGGGUUCGACCCCCACGUCGGGCU
rnacentral:tRNA from 1 species